rnacentral:rRNA from 1 species
UGGGGAAUUUUGCACAAUGGGGGAAACCCUGAUGCAGCGACGCCGCGUGAUUUAGAAGGCCUUCGGGUUGUAAAAAUCUUUUCUAUGGGAAGAAAAUGACAGUACCAUAGGAAUAAGGACCGGCUAAUUACGUGCCAGCAGCCGCGGUAAUACGUAAGGUCCGAGCGUUGUCCGGAAUCAUUGGGCGUAAAGGGUACGUAGGCGGGUAAGCAAGUUAGAAGUGAAAUCCUAUAGCUCAACUAUAGUAAGCUUUUAAAACUGCUCAUCGUGAGGGAUGGAAGGGAAAGUGGAAUUCCUAGUGUAGCGGUGAAAUGCGCAGAUAUUAGGAGGAAUACCGGUGGCGAAGGCGACUUUCUGGCCAUAACCUGACGCUGAGGUACGAAAGCGUGGGUAGCAAACAGG